rnacentral:lncRNA from 1 species
GCGGUUCCUGUGGUAAAGCGGCGGCAGUUUUAUAGUGUUCCGCGGCAGCUGGAUUAGAAAUAAAUGUUCGUUCACGAUUAGGAAUGAGUACCCCCUCUCUCUUAUUCUCUCGCACGAAAAUUUCACAACCCAGUUUUAGUGUGUAUCGCACGACCCCUUGUUUUAAAAAAAGAAAGCUUCAACACUUCUCUUCUCUUCUCUGCUUGUUCGACCCCUUGUUUUCAAUUUCAGGUGAUGAAAUUUUUAUAUGAAUUGAGACAAAUUUCUAUCAUUUUUCUAUUUUUUGUCUUUGAUUAUGAUGAUUUAGAGUUUUUAGUCCAUUUAGGGUUUUGAAUUUUAUCAAUUGAUGGUUUAGGGUUUUUGCUAGUUAUAGUCAUUCAAUUAGUUUUGAAAUUUCAAUUAGUAUUAUGAAGGGUUUGACGACACAUGCUAUAUUCCUUAUGAAAUAAUUUAUUGCUAGUUUGCUUAUGAAGGGUUUGAUCUGAUAUUGCUAGUUUGCUAUUAGUUUUCUUAACAUUUAAAUAUAUUCUCCUGAAUAUUGUUUUUGAUAUAGUCAUAUAUUUUGUUGGACUGAAAGCAGUAGUAAGUGAAAGUGUGCAGCAACCACUACUCUGCUAUGACAACUUGAUCAGGACAAUUUUUCUAUUUCAAGAAGGUAACUUUAUUUGCUUUCAACUAAUGAGUUUGUUGGUCUGCAUGCUUGGGUUUAACCCCCAACAUGUGUGUUUAUGGAUUGUCUUGUACAUUUUUAGCAUAAGUUGUUUAUCCUUUGGUAUUUGAUUUUGAACAUGAUUUGAAGGUUAACUAUGUUUAUUUAGGAUAUUGUGUUUUCAAGGCUUACUGUCUUUGAUUGGCGUUGAUUACGGCGUUGGGAAAAAUACUCUAUUGUUGUAGGUAUGACUUUAGUUAGAUGAUUUACUUGCUUCAAUUUAAUAUCACUAUUUUGUGGACUUUUUCUAUAUUACCCAAAAAUUAGGAAGUAAUAUCAACAAUAUAUGCUCCUCAGAUCUUAGGAU